rnacentral:misc_RNA from 1 species
UUGAAAUAAACCUGAUGGGUUGUUGCUGGCUCUCUAGGGAGCAUGUGCACGCCUUGUCAUCUUUAUAUUUUGCUUCAUUUACCCCCCAAUGUAUGUCAAUAGAAUGUUGUGCCUAUAAUAAUAUAUA